rnacentral:rRNA from 1 species
GAUGAACGCUGGCGGCGUGCCUAAUACAUGCAAGUCGAGCGAACAGACGAGGAGCUUGCUCCUCUGACGUUAGCGGCGGACGGGUGAGUAACACGUGGAUAACCUACCUAUAAGACUGGGAUAACUUCGGGAAACCGGAGCUAAUACCGGAUAAUAUAUUGAACCGCAUGGUUCAAUAGCGAAAGACGGUUUUGCUGUCACUUAUAGAUGGAUCCGCGCCGCAUUAGCUAGUUGGUAAGGGAACGGCUUACCAAGGCAACGAUGCGUAGCCGACCUGAGAGGGUGAUCGGCCACACUGGAACUGAGACACGGUCCAGACUCCUACGGGAGGCAGCAGUAGGGAAUCUUCCGCAAUGGGCGAAAGCCUGACGGAGCAACGCCGCGUGAGUGAUGAAGGUCUUCGGAUCGUAAAACUCUGUUAUUAGGGAAGAACAAAUGUGUAAGUAACUAUGCACGUCUUGACGGUACCUAAUCAGAAAGCCACGGCUAACUACGUG